UACGUAGGGGGCAAGCGUUGUCCGGAAUCAUUGGGCGUAAAGAGCGCGUAGGCGGCCCGAUAAGUCCGCUGUGAAAGUCAAGGGCUUAACCCUUGAAUGCCGGUGGAAACUGUCGGGCUAGAGUCCGGAAGAGGCGAGUGGAAUUCCUGGUGUAGCGGUGAAAUGCGUUGAUAUCAGGAGGAACACCGAUGGCGAAGGCAGCAAACUGGUCGUCAACUGACGCUGAGGCGCGAAAGCGUGGGUAGCAAACAGG
rnacentral:rRNA from 1 species